CAAUAGCGUAUAUUAAAGUUGUUGCAGUUAGAACGCUCGUAGUCGGAUUUCGGGGCGGGCCGACCGGUCUGCCGAUGGGUACGCACUGGUCGGCGCGUCCUUCCUUCCGGAGACCGUGCCUACUCUUAACUGAGCGGGGGCGGGAGACGGAAUUUUUACUUUGAAAAAAUCAGAGUGUUUCAAGCAGGCAGCUCGCUCUUGCAUGGAUUAGCAUGGGAUAAUGAAAUAGGACUUUGGUGCUAUUUUGUUGGUUUCGAACACCGAAGUAAUGAUGAGAAGGGACAGUCAGGGGCACUCGUAUUCCGCCGAGAGAGGUGAAAUUCUCAGACCAGCGGAAGACGAACCACUGCGAAAGCAUUUGCCAGGGAUGUUUNCACUG
rnacentral:rRNA from 1 species